CGCGGGGAGGAGGCAGGGGCUACUUGCCUGUACUUCAGGGGGCUGUGGACGUCGGUCUUGAUGGACUGGAUCGCAAACUCAGGCCGGCACAAGGGAGUCCCCCCUGUCCCAGGCUGCCCCUUCUUGGGUAUGGGGAGGGGAGCCCCAGCUCCAUCUGAAUCCUCCCGGGCUCCAACCCCUUGCCAUCCUUUUUCUCUAAGAAGCUUUCCAGGCUGGUAGCUGUUCUCCGGGAGGUUCAUGUCUGCCCGCAGCAUGGUGGCCACCGACAUCAUGAACUGCAGCCUCCCAUCACCUCCAGGAUGUCCAGCAGGGGCUGCGAGUCUCGUUUCUCUAUCACACCUGAGAGGAGAGCAGGGGUCACUGGCCCAGACGCGCAGUGGGUGUGCACCUUCCCACAGACCCGCGGGGACCGCCCCUGUCACCCGGUGUGGCGCCGGAUGCAGAGGAGCCUGACGGAUGCAGCUGUGACAGGCGCCUGGGGCUCGGCGAAAGCAGAUGGGCGGGCAG